rnacentral:rRNA from 1 species
UACGUAGGGGCCGAGCGUUUGUCCGGAGUUAUUGGGCGUAAAGCGCGCGCAGGCGGCCUCGCGCGCCCGACGUGAAAGCCCCCGGCUUAACCGGGGAGGGUCGUUUGGGGACGGCGGGGCUUGAGGGCGGGAGAGGUCGGUGGAAUUCCCGGUGUAGUGGUGAAAUGCGUAGAGAUCGGGAGGAACACCUGUGGCGAAGGCGGCCGACUGGGCCGACCCUGACGCUGAGGCGCGAAGGCGUGGGGAGCGAACGGG